AUGCUUCUGUCCAUCCUCCACAUAUGCUUCCUCCUUUCCUUUUGACAAAGCCAUUUCUGACGCCCAGAGCAGAGCUUUUCAGGCUGACCAGAGCUCCGAUUAUUCAAGAAGAUGGUGUGACUCAUAAUUGGUGCCUGCCGUUAUGUGGCUAGGAAAAUAACAUUGUUCCUGCGCCAGGAGGAUGGGGCAGAGACCAUGUUGGCUUGCAAGAACCGGACAACUCCAGCUGGUAUCCCAAAAAAGCCAGGAGGGUCUGAAUGCAUUCCUUGCUCAGCCAGCGAAAAAUGUCCUCUCGCGGCUACUUCGGAAGUCAGAACCCAGGAACCAAACUCCUGAUGAAGUAAAAUAAAAACGGACAGCAGAGCGGAAAAUGACGGUUUGUUUGACAAAAUCCUGUGGAUGCAGGAAGUGAACAGACCUGAGAAUCUGUCCUCCUCUCGUUGUUCCACGAUGAAAAUAAAUUUCAAUAAAGAAGUGUUCCAUGCA